UGCAAAAAUAUCCUGGAAAAUUGUUUGCCAGGAAGAGAUGUGAUCUAUUCCAGACUUUUGUCUGAUCUGAUGAAACAGUAAGGACUGAGGAUGGCCUUAAACUUAAGCAGUAAGCUAUCCAAAAAGGAACUGCAUAUAAAUUGUCUUAUUUUAACAACCCAGGGUUAGAUUUCUGUACUGGUUAUUGCCUUUUAUAUAUUAAUAGGUCAAAGUUAAACAUUCAACUUCCUCUUAUAUCUGUAUGUCUUUUAUGUCAAGAAAAUAUAUAGUGUCAAUGUUAUCAUCCUUGAGAUAGUUGCCGGCCCAUCAUUUUUAUCCUCUUUUCUUCUUUCACGACCAAUUCGUAUGUGAAAAGUGAAAUAAUAUCUCAACUGAUCAAAGACCAACUCCAAUGUAGCAGUAUCACCAUGGUUUUUUUACUGAUCUGAUGGUUCGCAAUAACAGGUUUUCGUGGUUAUGGCGAAGAAGAGUUACAAAAGAAUUCAGUAGUCAACAUCCACACAUGUCAAAGCUUAAUCACUGCCAACGGGGAUUGAUUAAGUUGGUAAGGUUGGAAAAUUUUACGCACAAAGCUUAAGUUCAAAUCCCGCUACUAGUGAUCUUCCUUGGUCGAUUUUAAAUCUAAUAUAAUCCUCUAUGAAGCCUACGGUCUAUUUUGACCCUGAAAAGGAAAACCCCCCUCCUCUUAAACUUUUUUGACAGAAAAAAAAAAAAAAAA